GUCAGCUAGCGACAUAUGCAAAAUUGGAUACGAUACAGAGAAGAUUAACACUACACAAGGAUGACACGUGUAAUCCUGAAGCGUUUCCAUAUUUU
rnacentral:snRNA from 1 species